rnacentral:rRNA from 1 species
UGGGGAAUUUUGGACAAUGGGCGAAAGCCUGAUCCAGCAAUGCCGCGUGCAGGAUGAAGGCCUUCGGGUUGUAAACUGCUUUUGUACGGAACGAAACGGUUCUCCUUAAUACGGGGGGCUAAUGACGGUACCGUAAGAAUAAGCACCGGCUAACUACGUGCCAGCAGCCGCGGUAAUAA